GCCGAAAAAGCUCAGUUGGGAGAGCGUUAGACUGAAGAUCUAAAGGUCCCUGGUUUGAUGGUUUCAGCA